rnacentral:rRNA from 1 species
CCCUGUGACCAAACCACCUGGAAUACACCCGAUCUCAUCAUAUCUCAGAAGCUAAAUAUACGUAAGCCUGACUAAUGCUUUGAUGGGUGAUCACCAUUGCAAAAUCCAGGUGCAAUAGGUC